AAGUCGUAACAAGGUUUCCGUAGGUGAACCUGCGGAAGGAUCAUUAAUGUAAACACCCCUGGACCGGUCCGCCGCGAAGGGGGAACAUACAAUCCACAUACCUCUGUGAACCGUUUGACCUCCGGGUCUACUUUACAAAACAUCAGUGUAAUGAACGUAUGAAAACAUAAAACGAAACAAAACUUUCAACAACGGAUCUCUUGGCUCUC
rnacentral:misc_RNA from 1 species